UUUUCUACUUAAAUGCUGUCCGAUUACUGUUUCUACUUUGCAAGUUUUUCUUCUUCAUCACUGCCGCAACAUAACUUUCUCCUUGUUCACUGCACCUUCCUCUUCUUCAUCACCGCCGCAACAUAACUUUCUCUUUGUUAUAAAAGCUAUUCUCCACUGCAACACAACAUAUUUAACACAGCGAAAACCACCGAUGCAACACAGUUUUAUCACCGCCACGAGAUCCACCGCCGCAACAUAACUUAUUUAUCGCCCCGAGAGCCACCACUGCGACACAGCCUAUCUACCGUCGCGAGAACUACUAUUGUAACACAACCUAAUUAUUAUUGCGAGAGCCACUUCACUCAUAGUCUCGCCGCCGUCACUGCCACUUGAAGUAGUUCUUUUUUUAUAGAACUUCUAAUUUUCAAUCUCAUUAAUUCAAAUUCUCGAUAAUCCAAUUUUAAUUGGGACCACCUCCAUAUUUCUCGAAUUCGAGUUUAUUCUUCCGCGUGAAGCCUGUAGUCAUAUGUCUGAUGUUUGUGUUCUUUUGUUUGAAAUAGAGAAAGAACAUUGGUACCAUUUGUCGAAUAGUUAUAGGUGGUAUGGAGGGACUAGAAGAAGUGUCAAUGGAAGUGGUUGAUGAAACAGUUGAGGCUACUGUUGAUGAUAUUAGUGCUGAGGAUGGAGAAUCUAUUGAAAAUAUUAUAAAUAUUGAUAGUAUGGAGGAUAUUCUUAGUAUGGACCUGAAAAGACUAAGUCCCCAUGACACAAGAAAGGAGAAAUAUUACAGCGGGCAUUUGUUUGUCACAGACAGGGGUUUAGGGAGGAUAGAGGUUUAACAAUAGAAAAUCGUAAGCGUGAGCAUAAAACUGAUACUCGGUCUGGAUGUGAAGCAAAAUUUCGAGUGCAUAUAGAUAUGUUCUCACAAUGUUGGUGGAUAACAGUUUUUAACGAUCAACACAACCAUGAUCUUUUAUAUGAAGAGUAUCAUGGAAUGCUUGUUUCACAUCGAAAAAUGGAAGAUUCAGAUAUAAUGCAGAUGAACGACAUGUUGAAGGAUUGUAUGAGACCGUCUCAAUUAUAUGGUUCUUGUGCCAACCAAUCAAGAGGGUAUGUAAAAAUAGGGUUUCGUAGGAAAGAUAUAUAUAAUCAGAUAUGAAAGCAAUGCCUUUUGCAACGAUGUGAUGGUAAAAAUGCAUUACACUAUCUUCAUGGACUGGCAUCAGAUGACCCGAUGAUGUUUUAUCGCCACACUGUUGAUGGAGAAGGUAGGCUUUCCAACCUUUUUGGGUCUGAUGGUAUAAGCCAAAUGGAUUUCAAAGUUUUUGGUGAUGUCUUGGCAUUUGAUGCAACAUAUGGGACGAACAAAUACUGUUGCCCCUUAGUGGUGUUUUUUGGAGUUAAUAACCAUAAUCAUAAUAUUAUAUUUGACGGUGCUAUUGUUGCAAAUGAAAAAGAAAAAACAUAUGUGUGGGUUCUUGGAAAAAAUUUGGAAGCAAUAUCAGGUAAGUCGCCUAUAUCGUCAUUACUGAUGGCAAUCUUGCAAUGAAGAAAGCUAUAAAUAAGGUGUUUUUGAAUGCUUAUCAUUGGUUGUAUGCUUGGCAUCUAAUUCGCAAUGCAAUGUCUAACAUUGGAGUUCCUGAAUUUGUUAGUCAGUUUAAGAAAUGCAUGUUGGGUGACUAUGACCUGGGUGAGUUUCAGCGCAAGUGGGCUGACAUGAUUGACGCAUUUGGGUUGCAUGACAACAAGUGGGUUACAAAAUUGUAUGCAAAGAGAAAGACGUGGGCUACAGCUCAUAUACGCGGAAUUUUUUUCGCUGGGUUCAGAACUACCUCCCGGUGUGAGGGGUUACAUUCAGAAAUAGGGAAGUUUCUUCACUCACAAUAUAAUUUAAGUGAAUUUUUAUUACAUUUUCAUCGGUGUCUUAAUUACAUGUUUUAUAAGGAGGUAGAAGCUGACUUUGUAUCAAAUUACGGUGAUCAUAUGCUACAAACAAGAUUUCAAAGCAUAGAGCAUUGCGCUGGGAAGUUAUUUACUAGAAAAAUAUUACUUAUGUUUCGUGAUCUUCUUGCACAGUCCGCGGAGAUGGUAGUGGCAACAUGUCAUUAAACUUAUACUUGUAUCAUAUACACAGUUCUCAAGUACCAAACAUCAAAAAGGGAGUGGAACGUAUCACUCUAUCUUGAUGAUGACAUGUUUCGAUAUAUGCGUUUGAGCAAAUUAGUAAGUGAGAGUGGUGAUGAUUUCGAUUACCAUAUGAGAAAUGGAAGCAAAAAGGGGCUUACAUGAUGAUGGACCCACAAAUUCAAGUGAAUUUGUCCACGAGACACUGAAGGAUCCUGCUCAAGCUAGAACUAAAGGAUGCGCUGGGGAAUCUUCAUCAUGUCAGAAAAAAGGAAGCGCACUAAGUGUUCUACUUGCAAAAAAUUUGGUCAUAACAAGCAAACAUGUUCAUUACCUCGACAUAAUGCUAACACGGCAAAUUCGUCACACGGAGAUUUUCACAACAUUGAAUUCAGUAAUGACUCUGUAAGCAAUUUCUUUAAUGUUGCUAUUUAAUGGUAUCGUUAUAUAUAUAUUACCCAUUGUUAUAAAUAUCUAUGGUACUUGCAAUUGCAUAACAAUCUUGAUUGAAUUGUAAAAGCGCAUCUGCGAAAUAAGUGUGAAAACGGAUGCACCUUAUAAGUUAACUUAAAUAUAGUAAUUAGUUGGAUACAUAUGCAAUUGCGAUGUGGUCUAUUGAUAUCAUCUUGUUUUAAUUCUUGAUAGAAAUGUUUAAAUUGUUCAUGCAAAAUGAUUCAAGAAAUUCGUAGAAUUCUUUCACUGGCUAUUGUAUCUCAAUUCAUAUUUUUUCUGUUUGUUUUUAUUAAAAUAUUUUGUUGCAUGGAUAAUGUAUUUGUUCAACACUUGAUGAUACUUACGUGUUUCAAUUACGCUUUUUCUACCUGAUAGAAUUUGAUCUGUUAGUUUGGUUAUACAUGCAUUUGUAGUGUGGACUACUCAUGUACUUAAUAAAUUAAAUUAUAUUUUAUUUUAUUAAAUUGAUUAUUGGUUUGAUUUGGAUUAUCUUUCCCGUUACACGUAAGAUUGGAUAAGAUAUAUCUUGGGUCCCAUUACAGUUUUGUAUUACCGUUGUAUGUCACACAUAAACGAGUUCCCGAGUAAGUUCCAGACAUAGAUUUCUUACAAGGCCCUGGUGUGUGUGUGUCGGAUUCUAGUUUAUAGCUCCAUUGCAGUUCCAGUUGGUCUCGCUGUGGAGUUGAUCAGUGGGUGUGUCGAGGUUGAUAUAAUUAAGAAAAAUUGCAGGCAGAAAGCUCCAGCAGCUGUAUUUUAUGGUGUGAUGUCGUGACCAAGUGUGGCAGCUUUGAAGUGGCUUGUUCUGUUAGCACAUUGGUGGUUGGGCUGAAUUGUUUUAUUGGUGCAACAGGGUGCUGAAAGUAGCUGAGCUAGCAGUUUUUUUUCGAGAGUUUGGUCGUUGUAUUGUCGCUGAUUUGUAGAUUGUCUAGCCUAUUAUGAAGUUCAAGUUAGUGCAUCAACUGUCUGCUUUUAAAAAUGUAGACAUGUUCAUUUAACUAUUACUAUAGCAGGUUUUUUGUGUGUGAAAGGUAUAGAAGUAGUUAAAUGAGUAGUACCAUUUUGAAAAUUUAAAUAAUGUAACCAUUCUAAAUACUUUUACAUUUAACAUUAAACUAAUAGUAGUUAAAUAAGAAUCAUUUUCAACACUGUCACACUAAUAAUUUUGACUGCAAAAACAAAUUGGACUGCAGAGGUAAUCUAAACAGGAUCUUGUCUAUUUCAUGUUCUACAUUAAUUGUUUGUCACUUGAAAAGGUGUUAAUCAAUCUAUAUGGUGCUUGUAGGAUGAAAAGGUUGUUAUUCGCGUCAAGAGGUCUGUUGAAGAUGAGACCUUGGAUCAACUAGUUGCCAACAUAUAGUGGCAUGAAAGAAUACUUUAAUAGCAGAUUAGUCUUGGUUUUGGACUACAAGGAUAUGUUUGGUUUGUUCUUUAUUGGAUUUAACUAAGUUUGAAUCAGAAGAGAGUGCCUGCAGAAAAUUUGUGCCACUCAAUCAAACAAAGAAUCAAACUCAGCAUCAUCAUGACAUAUGAUUUGAGACCGCAAUGAACACAGUAUUUCUUCAACUGAUUCAUUGCAAGGAAAGUCCAUUUCUACCAGCUUCUUAAAUGACUCAAAUCAUACUUGCAACAGUUAUGUGGGAAGUCGGACGACGAAGAGUCAGUUUUCUAAUAUCGUGUUCUCUCCUAAAAAUAUUAGUUUUGAAGACAACGAAGCUCGGCUAAGUCCUCCAGCCUCUGCUGGUUUUGAUAACACUUCAAUAUUUGUCUUGCUUUUCUUUUGUUUGGAAAUGAAGACUUUGAUAAGGAAGGGCUGUCUUCAGGUCCCGAUUAUAUGGCAGAAGUUUUUGUUCAUGUCAAGAGUUAUAGGGGGCAUACUUUUGUUAGUGUAGUAUCCUUGGGAGCGGUCAAUGAUAUGGUUGCGUUUGUUUUGAAGUGGUUGCAUCUUGGCAUUAGAUUUAUCACGGAGUUGCUUUUCAGCUAAGGUAUUUUGUGCAUGUGGUGCAUUCACGCUUGGUUCUUUGCUUGAGGCGAUUUUUAUCGGUAGCUUGGAUUUGGUUGCAUGUAGAAUCUUGUUUAUCAAUGUUUGUAUGUAUUUGAGUAGCUGAGAUUAAUUUUGGGGUUGGAUUAGCUUGGGUGGAGUUUCUGUCAUAUAGCAGUAUGAAUGUAACAUAUAGUAACUUAUAAAUUGAAAUUGUCUUUAAUAUUACUUUUAUAUACAAUACUUUAAUAGACAUGUCUAUGAUAAUAAACUAACAAAUUUUCUUAACACUCAUGACCCAUUUUCUUCAGACGAACAAUGUUGAAAUGUGUGUUCAGUAAGGUAGACUAGAAAAAAUUAAUAUCACUGGAAUAAAAAAUUAACUUCUAAAACUAUAAUUAUUUUCUAUUUCUACCUUGUAAGAUUUCAUUGAAGUAGCCUAAAUAUAUAAGAAACAAAUCAGCUGCAUAAUCAUGUUAUUUUCUUAAACAGAAUCAAUCACAUUG